AGACCCGGCAGCUCGUAGAGCUCCGGCCGCAGCCCCAGGGCUUCUUUGGGGCGGGGGUUCGGCCUGCCCUGAGAGGUUCGGCGCGCGGUUGGGCCGACCCCGCUCCAGGCCAGCGGGACGCGGAGACUUGCGCGAGGGCGCGUGCGGGGGCGUGGCGGCUUCCUUUCCGCGAGGAUUGCGUCCUGAGCGCCGGGCUGUCCGGGGCGUGGGAGCAGCGGAGGCCUCCGGGGGUGGCCCAGAGGCUGAAAAGACUGGUGCGUGCGCUGCGCUCUCAGGGUUGGUGAGUGUGCAGCUUCAGGGUUUUUUCUUCUUUUACGUCACCCGACAGCAGUACUGCUAUCGCAUCGGCACCAGAGGGGCAACUGCAGUACUAGUGAUAUUGACGUACAGUCAACCCAAACUUUCACCAGGACUAGUGCCAGAACCCACGUGAGGAUGGUAGGAAAGCCUGGGUGAGGGGCAGCAGGGGCUGGGGCAGGUCCAGACACUGCACCCGCCCCAAACUUCUCAAACCCAGAGGCCACCGUCGGCUUUCACCCCUGGUAAUACUUGGUUCUGCAACUCAAAAGUGCCAACCGAAAUCCAGUCUUUCUUUUCAUCUCCAUGGACAACAUGGUUACAGUGCCCCAUCGCCCCUACCCCACGACGGCAGCUCCAGGAUGUCCUCUUCUCUGGACCACGGCAGCACACAGGAAAGGAGGAAUUUUUUUCUCUCCUCUGGAAACCCCAGGAAACAGCUUGUUUCUCUUUGGCACUGCCUGGCUGGUUUUUCCAUCCCCUAAGCAGGGGAAGGAAAAGCCGAUAGCUCUACCCAGUUUUGUGUCUAUCAAAACCCAUUUACUGACCAGUGUGCGUUGAGCACCUUGUAUGCAUAGCCAGGCACUAAACUAGGUGCAAGAGACUGUGAACAACUCAGCCCCACACCACCAAAUGGCCCGGUGGCCUUCAUUAGAUACAGUGACAAGAGCCAGGAGGAAGGCCUGUUAGGAGGCCAGUACAAUAACUGGAGCCAGAAGCAGUUAAGAUGAAGUAAAGUGGACUGAUUCAGGAGAUUCCCCACUUGAUUGGCUCUCCAUGAGUCUGGAGAUGGGCGCGGAGUCCACGAAAGGAACCAGGAAGGACUCUGAGGGGACUUCUGGCAUAGGUUGGAGGGCCCAGCAUGGGAGCAUUAGGAGUGGGGGAAAGGUGGGCGCUCAGUCUGGGUAAGCAGGUGUACAUUGCCAGAUAAAUGCAGAACUGCUACCAUGGGCCUGAAGAACUCUGGGGUGGAGGGUGUGUGAGUGGGUGAGGUCAGAGGGCAGAGCAGAGGGAGACUGCGCCGAAAGAGGGGAGUCCAUGGUCUUUGGGGGUCAAGGGCUGACUGUUAUCUGUUGGAUUUUGGUUCCAGAUGGUUUUGGUGAGAAUGACCAGGGCCUGAUGGGGCCGAUUAUAGACCCAGUGGCAAGAAGCAAGGGGCAGAGACCGGAGCUGACCAAGAGGGGAGCAUAAAGGCUUUUAAAGUUUGAACCUGCAUCAGAAUUACUAGAGGCUUGUUAAAGC